GACGAACGCUGGCGGCGUGCCUAAUACAUGCAAGUCGAACGCUUCUUUUUCCACCGGAGCUUGCUCCACCGGAAAAAGAGGAGUGGCGAACGGGUGAGUAACACGUGGGUAACCUGCCCAUCAGAAGGGGAUAACACUUGGAAACAGGUGCUAAUACCGUAUAACAAUCGAAACCGCAUGGUUUUGAUUUGAAAGGCGCUUUCGGGUGUCGCUGAUGGAUGGACCCGCGGUGCAUUAGCUAGUUGGUGAGGUAACGGCUCACCAAGGCGACGAUGCAUAGCCGACCUGAGAGGGUGAUCGGCCACAUUGGGACUGAGACACGGCCCAAACUCCUACGGGAGGCAGCAGUAGGGAAUCUUCGGCAAUGGACGAAAGUCUGACCGAGCAACGCCGCGUGAGUGAAGAAGGUUUUCGGAUCGUAAAACUCUGUUGUUAGAGAAGAACAAGGAUGAGAGUAACUGUUCAUCCCUUGACGGUAUCUAACCAGAAAGCCACGGCUAACUACGUGCCAGCAGCCGCGGUAAUACGUAGGUGGCAAGCGUUGUCCGGAUUUAUUGGGCGUAAAGCGAGCGCAGGCGGUUUCUUAAGUCUGAUGUGAAAGCCCCCGGCCUCAACCGGGGAGGGUCAUUGGAAACUGGGAGACUUGAGUGCAGAAGAGGAGAGUGGAAUUCCAUGUGUAGCGGUGAAAUGCGUAGAUAUAUGGAGGAACACCAGUGGCGAAGGCGGCUCUCUGGUCUGUAACUGACGCUGAGGCUCGAAAGCGUGGGGAGCAAACAGGAUUAGAUACCCUGGUAGUCCACGCCGUAAACGAUGAGUGCUAAGUGUUGGAGGGUUUCCGCCCUUCAGUGCUGCAGCUAACGCAUUAAGCACUCCGCCUGGGGAGUACGACCGCAAGGUUGAAACUCAAAGGAAUUGACGGGGGCCCGCACAAGCGGUGGAGCAUGUGGUUUAAUUCGAAGCAACGCGAAGAACCUUACCAGGUCUUGACAUCCUUUGACCACUCUAGAGAUAGAGCUUCCCCUUCGGGGGCAAAGUGACAGGUGGUGCAUGGUUGUCGUCAGCUCGUGUCGUGAGAUGUUGGGUUAAGUCCCGCAACGAGCGCAACCCUUAUUGUUAGUUGCCAUCAUUUAGUUGGGCACUCUAGCAAGACUGCCGGUGACAAACCGGAGGAAGGUGGGGAUGACGUCAAAUCAUCAUGCCCCUUAUGACCUGGGCUACACACGUGCUACAAUGGGAAGUACAACGAGUCGCAAAGUCGCGAGGCUAAGCUAAUCUCUUAAAGCUUCUCUCAGUUCGGAUUGUAGGCUGCAACUCGCCUACAUGAAGCCGGAAUCGCUAGUAAUCGCGGAUCAGCACGCCGCGGUGAAUACGUUCCCGGGCCU
rnacentral:rRNA from 1 species